CCUACGGGAGGCAGCAGUAGGGAAUAUUGCUCAAUGGGGGAAACCCUGAAGCAGCAACGCCGCGUGGAGGAUGAAGGUUUUCGGAUUGUAAACUCCUUUUGUUAGAGAAGAUAAUGACGGUAUCUAACGAAUAAGCACCGGCUAACUCCGUGCCAGCAGCCGCGGGAAUACGGAGGGUGCAAGCGUUACUCGGAAUCACUGGGCGUAAAGAGCGCGUAGGCGGGAUAGCAAGUCAGAUGUGAAAUCCUAUGGCUUAACCAUAGAACUGCAUUUGAAACUGUUAUUCUAGAGUAUGGGAGAGGUAGGUGGAAUUCGUGGUGUAGGGGUAAAAUCCGUAGAGAUCAAGAGGAAUACUCAUUGCGAAGGCGACCUGCUAGAACAUAACUGACGCUGAUGCGCGAAAGCGUGGGGAGCAAACAGGAUUAGAUACCCUUGUAGUC
rnacentral:rRNA from 1 species